GAUGAACGCUGGCGGCGUUCCUAAUACAUGCAAGUCGAGCGAAGCGGGGACGGGUGAGUCACACGUGGAUAACCUCCUAUAAGACUGGGAUAACUUCGGGAACCCGGAGCUAAACCAGAUACUUCUAGAUGGAUCCGCGCCGCAUUCGCUCGUUGGUAAGGGAACGGCUUACCAAGACGACGAUGCGUAGCCGACCUGAGAGCGUGUUCGGCCACACUGCAACUGAGACCCGGUCCAGACUCCUACGUGAGGCAGCAGUAGGGAAGCUGCCGCAAUGGGCGAAAGCCUGACGUAGCAACGCCGCGUGAGUUAUGAAGGUCUUCGGAUCGUAAAACUCUGUUAUUAGGGAAGCGGGACCUAAUCAGAAAGCCACGGCUAACUACGUGCCAGCAGCCGCGGUAAUUC
rnacentral:rRNA from 1 species